UGUGCUGUCAGCACCGUGGAUGAGUGGAGCUAAUAUUUCCUCUCAUGGCCAGUCAGCUUUUCAUCUUACAUGAGGGAAACUGAUGCCAGAGGGGUCAAGUGACAGGCAAAGCCUCCUGGGCCCCAGAGGGAGGGCUGGCAUGGGUGGGGAGUCAGUGCUUUAGUGUCCCUUGCUGUUCAAGAGACCUGAAGUGCAGCUUCUUCUCCUGCUCCAGCUCCCCAAUCUACACCUGUGCUGACACUGAGAUAGUUUGCUAAGGCUGGAAACCAAGUGUCUGAGAUUUACCUCAAAACUGUUCAGCAGAUCCUCACAGGUUCUUGGAAGCUCUAGGUCCCAGUGGGUUUUGUGGGGAGAAAGACUUGGCUCAAAUCCUAGCUAUUCUAGCACUUAAAUUGUGAUCCAGGGCAAGUUAACAGCUUCUCUCAGCCUCAGUUUUGCCAUAGGUGAAAUGGGACCUCAUACUUACCUCUGGGAAUUGUGUGAAAUAAAUGAACAAGGUCUUACAUAUAUUUUAUAAUAUAUAAAUAUACAUGCAUACAUAAAUAUAUAUAAAAUCUUAUACAGUGGUUUGAGAAGCAGACUAGAAGUAUCUAUUUCAUGUGAAGCACAACAUCGUUCCCUGCCACCUGAAGUGGUGGAUAAUUCCCAGGGAAACUGUAGGAGCCAUUAGGGCAGACAGAAUUACUCAAGGUCACUGAGUUUGGAUUUCAGAGGAAAGGCAGAAUAGAAGAAUGAGGGAUCUGAGAGGAAGCAAGUGGUCUCUGAAGACCUGGAAGGCAUCACACCAGGGUCUAAGAAGGAGCCUGUGCACCAGACCACACAUUACAGCUAUGAAUCACUCUUCCCAGGGUCUGGGAAACCAACAUCAGAUGCCAAGAAGUGUGUGUGGUUGGGUAAGCAUUGGAAAGCUCUGCUGUGCUGAGGAGGCCUAUGAAACAGAGAAGAAUGGCUGCAUUGUCAUGGUGAUGAUAUGGCCUGAGCCUAUAACUGGGGAUAACUCUUGGUGCUGUCUGGAAGAAAGCUCUUGGAAUCGUAAGAGGAGAAAAUUCCUGAGCUACUUCCAUUGGGGCACAGAGGUCCCUUCUCUCUUUAAGUGGGAAUCACCUGCACCCAGAAGGGAUGAUGCUUCCUGCAUCCUUUGCAGGAGGUCAUUUUCCAAGUCUGGUGGAGAGUUACCAUCUGCCUGGAAACAUGCCAGUGGUAGCCUCACAGUGUCUGAAACUGAAGAAUACCCAUGAUGGGGGAUCGGACUUGCUUUGAUAUUAUCUAACUGGUUAAUCAGAGCUGUUUGAGGGGGUACAACUAUUGCCAAAUUCAAAUACAUCAAGGGACCCUGGAGAUUACUGAGAAAAUGAAGAUGAAUAAAGACAUGCUGUGUGCAGUGAAAUGUAAUGUAACCCCAGAAUAAAUAACAAAUGGG
rnacentral:lncRNA from 1 species